UACGGAGGGUGCGAGCGUUAUCCGGAAUUACUGGGUUUAAAGGGUGCGUAGGCGGCUUGGUAAGUCAGGAGUGAAAGUUUGCGGCUCAACCGUAAAAUUGCUUUUGAUACUGCCAGGCUAGAAUUAGGAUGAGGUCAGCGGAAUGUGGCAUGUAGCGGUGAAAUGCAUAGAUAUGCCAUAGAACACCAAUUGCGAAGGCAGCUUACUAGACUUGUGUUGACGCUGAGGCACGAAAGCGUGGGGAGCGAACAGG
rnacentral:rRNA from 1 species